rnacentral:rRNA from 1 species
GAUGAACGCUGGCGGCGUGCUUAACACAUGCAAGUCGAACGGUGAACGAGGGAGCUUGCUCCCUCCGGAUCAGUGGCGAACGGGUGAGUAACACGUGAGCAAUCUGCCCUGGACUCUGGGAUAAGCGUUGGAAACGACGUCUAAUACCGGAUACGAGGCGUGGGGGCAUCCCCAACGCCUGGAAAGAACUUCGGUCCAGGAUGAGCUCGCGGCCUAUCAGCUUGUUGGUGAGGUAACGGCUCACCAAGGCGACGACGGGUAGCCGGCCUGAGAGGGUGACCGGCCACACUGGGACUGAGACACGGCCCAGACUCCUACGGGAGGCAGCAGUGGGGAAUAUUGCACAAUGGGCGCAAGCCUGAUGCAGCAACGCCGCGUGAGGGACGACGGCCUUCGGGUUGUAAACCUCUUUUAGCGGGGAUGAAGCGAAAGUGACGGUACCUGCAGAAAAAGCACCGGCUAACUACGUGCCAGCAGCCGCCGUAAUAC